rnacentral:sRNA from 1 species
AUAAGAGCACAGUCUUUUUUUUUUUUUAAUCCACAGAACUGUACCGGCUUUGGGAGCUGCAGAGCAGGUUCCCCUGCACUGCACCACCCUGGCCAUGUGCCUCACCGCUGUCCUGAAGAGACUCGCCACCUCAGAGGUGAAUGGAGAGUUAAAUUUCCAUGGCCCAUUCAUUCCUUGGCCUCU